UGAGGAAUAUUGGUCAAUGGACGCAAGUCUGAACCAGCCAAGUAGCGUGCAGGAUGACGGCCCUAUGGGUUGUAAACUGCUUUUAUAUGGGGAUAAAGUGGGGAACGUGUUCCCUUUUGCAGGUACCAUAUGAAUAAGGACCGGCUAAUUCCGUGCCAGCAGCCGCGGUAAUACGGAAGGUUCGGGCGUUAUCCGGAUUUAUUGGGCGUAAAGGGUACGUAGGCGGGUAAGCAAGUUAGAAGUGAAAUCCUGUAGCUCAACUACAGUAAGCUUUUAAAACUGCUCAUCUUGAGAUAUGGAAGGGAAAGUGGAAUUCCUAGUGUAGCGGUGAAAUGCGCAGAUAUUAGGAGGAAUACCGGUGGCGAAGGCGACUUUCUGGCCAUAAUCUGACGCUGAGGUACGAAAGCGUGGGUAGCAAACAGG
rnacentral:rRNA from 1 species